rnacentral:rRNA from 1 species
GACGAACGCUGGCGGCGUGCUUAACACAUGCAAGUCGAACGGAAAGGCCCUGCUUUUGUGGGGUGCUCGAGUGGCGAACGGGUGAGUAACACGUGAGUAACCUGCCCUUGACUUUGGGAUAACUUCAGGAAACUGGGGCUAAUACCGGAUAGGAGCUCCUGCUGCAUGGUGGGGGUUGGAAAGUUUCGGCGGUUGGGGAUGGAUUCGCGGCUUAUCAGCUUGUUGGUGGGGUAGUGGCUUACCAAGGCUUUGACGGGUAGCCGGCCUGAGAGGGUGACUGGCCACAUUGGGACUGAGAUACGGCCCAGACUCCUACGGGAGGCAGCAGUGGGGAAUAUUGCACAAUGGGCGGAAGCCUGAUGCAGCAACGCCGCGUGCGGGAUGACGGCCUUCGGGUUGUAAACCGCUUUCGCCUGUGACGAAGCGUGAGUGACGGUAAUGGGUAAAGAAGCACCGGCUAACUACGUG